GCCACAACGGCUUCCUGGCGUGGCAAUUUUUCUAAUGGAGCG
rnacentral:ncRNA from 1 species